AUGAACGCUAGCUACAGGCUUAACACAUGCAAGUCGAGGGGCAUCAGGAAGAAAGCUUGCUUUCUUUGCUGGCGACCGGCGCACGGGUGAGUAACACGUAUCCAACCUGCCCUUUACUCGGGGAUAGCCUUUCGAAAGAAAGAUUAAUACCCGAUGGCAUAAUGAUUCCGCAUGGUUUCAUUAUUAAAGGAUUCCGGUAAAGGAUGGGGAUGCGUUCCAUUAGGUUGUUGGUGAGGUAACGGCUCACCAAGCCUUCGAUGGAUAGGGGUUCUGAGAGGAAGGUCCCCCACAUUGGAACUGAGACACGGUCCAAACUCCUACGGGAGGCAGCAGUGAGGAAUAUUGGUCAAUGGGCGCUAGCCUGAACCAGCCAAGUAGCGUGAAGGAUGAAGGCUCUAUGGGUCGUAAACUUCUUUUAUAUAAGAAUAAAGUGCAGUAUGUAUACUGUUUUGUAUGUAUUAUAUGAAUAAGGAUCGGCUAACUCCGUGCCAGCAGCCGCGGUAAUACGGAGGAUCCGAGCGUUAUCCGGAUUUAUUGGGUUUAAAGGGAGCGUAGGUGGACUGGUAAGUCAGUUGUGAAAGUUUGCGGCUCAACCGUAAAAUUGCAGUUGAUACUGUCAGUCUUGAGUACAGUAGAGGUGGGCGGAAUUCGUGGUGUAGCGGUGAAAUGCUUAGAUAUCACGAAGAACUCCGAUUGCGAAGGCAGCUCACUGGACUGCAACUGACACUGAUGCUCGAAAGUGUGGGUAUCAAACAGGAUUAGAUACCCUGGUAGUCCACACAGUAAACGAUGAAUACUCGCUGUUUGCGAUAUACAGUAAGCGGCCAAGCGAAAGCAUUAAGUAUUCCACCUGGGGAGUACGCCGGCAACGGUGAAACUCAAAGGAAUUGACGGGGGCCCGCACAAGCGGAGGAACAUGUGGUUUAAUUCGAUGAUACGCGAGGAACCUUAUCCGGGCUUAAAUUGCAGUGGAAUGAUGUGGAAACAUGUCAGUGAGCAAUCACCGCUGUGAAGGUGCUGCAUGGUUGUCGUCAGCUCGUGCCGUGAGGUGUCGGCUUAAGUGCCAUAACGAGCGCAACCCUUAUCUUUAGUUACUAACAGGUCAUGCUGAGGACUCUGGAGAGACUGCCGUCGUAAGAUGUGAGGAAGGUGGGGAUGACGUCAAAUCAGCACGGCCCUUACGUCCGGGGCUACACACGUGUUACAAUGGGGGGUACAGAAGGCAGCUACCUGGUGACAGGAUGCUAAUCCCAAAAGCCUCUCUCAGUUCGGAUCGAAGUCUGCAACCCGACUUCGUGAAGCUGGAUUCGCUAGUAAUCGCGCAUCAGCCACGGCGCGGUGAAUACGUUCCCGGGCCUUGUACACACCGCCCGUCAAGCCAUGGGAGCCGGGGGUACCUGAAGUACGUAACCGCAAGGAUCGUCCUAGGGUAAAACUGGUGACUGGGGCU
rnacentral:rRNA from 1 species